UGCAUCUGAGAUCAGGUAGGACCACC
rnacentral:rRNA from 1 species